UGCUGUACCCAGCUGACCUUCACUGCCUUCUUCCUAUCAACAAGGUGUGCCAGCCUGGCCCUUUAUGAGGCAGCUGCAGCCUUGGGGAUGCCUCGCAAGACCUCAGAAAGGAGGCAUGCAGCUUCAGGAAGAAGUCCACAUGCAGCCAGCAGCUGCCUUGUGAAGAACCAGGCCACGUGCAACUUAUCCACAGUGGGAGGAAGAUGUCAAAAGUGGAUGACGGGGCAGCGGAGCGUCGGGAAGAGUGCAGGGCAGUAAAGCACAGGACAGCCAAAGGGCAGAGUGGGGGGAGAUAGGCAGGUGGGGUGCUGAAGAAGAUCUAUAAAUCUCUGAGGAAAAGCAGAAAAAUCUACCAGAAGACUUUGCUGAAGUUUCAAACUACAAAUAAAAAAAUUAAAAAAAAAUUACACUUA